GAACGAUCUUGAUUAAACCACUAACCCCUUGUAUUUACUCGCCCAAAUUCCAGCUCUUCCAUCACUCGUCCAGUUAAUUUCAAAAUUAAUUUCAAGUUUCUUUCCCAUCAAUGGCAGAGGCGUUACGCAUGUGCAAAGGGUUUUGCCAUAAUCUUCUCUGGGUAGAAAGUGCAAAAACUUUGGAUUAAGCAGGUACACUUGCAACCCUGGGCAGGAUCACUG